CGGCUGCGCUCGCGACCGCUCGAGUAGUGCCCGUGUUUAAUUAAACAGAAUCAAAUGAACGCGGUGAAGUCGUUCAACACGUUAGUUUACGUUUGUUUUACGUUGAGAUAUAAUAAUUAAAAAAUGUCCCUCCAAAGCGUUCGCAAAACUCACGUUAGCUAACAGCUGCUAGUUAGCUUACGCUCCUGCUAACUGUUGCAUGUUUUGAUGAAAAAAAAAAUGUUUCUAAACUUUCCCGGUUGAACGGUCGAGUCAAACCGCCUUUCUAUCACAUUUACACAAAACUCAGCCGAAGUAUAGAAAGGAACUGCCCCAGCUCUCGGUUUGCCUUGUAAUAUUAAAGUCUUAAGAGUGGUUCUUUUUCACUUACCCGUCCAUUGCACAAGAAAAAAACUGCAGGUCUGAAGCGAAGGUAGGGCGGCAGACUUGCUUGAUUUUCUUACAAAAUGGCUGAACACACGGAGGCGAGCGCUGAUUAGUCCAGGGAGUUUCAAGAGCCAGAAACAGGCGGGGACAAGCCUCUACUUGAGACGUGAUUGGACAAGACGACCAUCAUUUUGUGAAAACAGGAGGCCGCGGCAAAUUUCCAGUACAUCAUAUGAAAGGUAUGACUCCACAGCUCCUGGUGCUGAAACACUCAUUCUAACAGUGAUGCCAUCCUCAUCAUACUGCACAGGCAUCAAGAGGAAAAUGAUAUUUCAGGGUUUGUAGAUGCUGACCUGAGGAUGACCUGCUCCAGGAGUUUGGUCUUCACCUCGUCCUCAUGCAGACGCUUCUGAGUCUCUUCCUCCGCUGGAGCUCCGUCCAACAACCAGCGCUCCCUCAGUGCCUUCGACUGAAAGACAUCACAAAUAGAGAAAAGGUUACAGUGGAAGCAGGCAGCUAUCUCACUGAGCCUCAUCUGGAUCAGUUCAUGAGUGGUAUGAAGGAGGAAGCAGCAGCUGACCAUCCUGACCUGUAAGAGGUCACUGUGAGGAGCAGCAGAACUGUGCCAGCACACACCCUCAAUGGAGCUAUGACAGGCAGGAACUACACUGAGACUUGAGUCCAGUCCGUGGAGCUGGCGCUGUGGGCAGUGUGUGUGAGCCGAUCCCCUGCUGAGUGUGUGUGUGAGCUGCCAGACCUCAACAUGGUACGCCACCUCUGCUGCCUCCUUCAUUCCGGCUUUUAAACUGAAGCUGCUGCUCUGGAUUUAGUCUUUAAACCUUUUUUUGUCUCUUUUUUUUAAAAGUCAUAUCUGCAUUCACCUGCUGAAACUUCCCUUGUUCAAAUCCUCUCUCAGUUGUGUCUCCUUUAGAACAAUCACAUAUGUGACAAUGAUGUCUGUUGUCUUUCCCCGUCACUAUAACAUCCGCUCAUUCUGCAUGGCCUUGUAGUAGUGCUCCUGCUCGGCAUGGCUGCGGGCGGAGACGGAAGGCCGGCGAGGCAGCGUGGAGCUGCGGGACAGUGCCUGGCUGUGGGCUUCCAUCAGUAAGUCCGGGUGGGGAG